CAGUCGCCGCGGUAAUACGGAGGGUGCAAGCGUUAAUCGGAAUUACUGGGCGUAAAGCGCACGCAGGCGGUCUGUCAAGUCAGAUGUGAAAUCCCCGGGCUUAACCUGGGAACUGCAUUUGAAACUGGCAGGCUAGAGUCUUGUAGAGAGGGGUAGAAUUCCAGGUGUAGCGGUGAAAUGCGUAGAGAUCUGGAGGAAUACCGGUGGCGAAGGCGGCCCCCUGGACAAAGACUGACGCUCAGGUGCGAAAGCGUGGGGAGCAAACAGGAUUAGAUACCCGGGUAGUCCCUGUCUCUUAUAC
rnacentral:rRNA from 1 species